AAAUCGAUAGCUCAGUGGCAGAGCGGUGGGGCGUUUACCCAUGCGGCCCGGGUUCGAUCCCCGGUCGAUGCA